rnacentral:rRNA from 1 species
GCACAACGCGAAGAACCUUACCAACCCUUGACAUGGAGGGACCGGUUCCGACGAGAUGGUUCUUUCUACUUCGGUGACCCGUCACACAGGUGCUGCAUGGCUGUCGUCAGCUCGUGUCGUGAGAUGUUCGGUUAAGUCCGGCAACGAGCGCAACCACACUUCAGUUGCCAGCAUUCAGUUGGGCGACUCUGAAAGAGCUGCCGGUGAUAAGCCGGAGGAAGGUGUGGAUGACGUCAAGUCCUCAUGGCCCUUACGGGUUGGGCGUACACACGUGCUACAAUGGCAGUGACAAUGGGCUAAUCCCAAAAAGCUGUCUCAGUUCGGAUUGGGGUCUGCAACUCGACCCAUGAAGUCGGAAUCGCUAGUAAUCGCGUAACAGCAUGACGCGGUGAAUACGUUCCCGGGUCUUGUACACACCG